GAUUAGAGUUUGAUCCUGGCUCAGAUGGAACGCUGGGGGGCAUGCUUUCCCCAUGCAAGUCGAACGGUAACAGGCCUUCGGGUGCUGACGAGUGGCGAACGGGGUGAGUAAUCCAUCGGAACCAUACCCAGUCGUGGGGGAUAACGUAGCGAAAGUUACGCUAAUUACCGCAUACGUCCUGAGGGAGAAAGCGGGGGAUCGCAAGACCUCGCGCGAUUGGAGUGGCCGAUGUCAGAUUAGCUAGUUGGUGGGGUAAAGGCCCACCAAGGCGACGAUCUGUAGCGGGUCUGAGAGGAUGAUCCGCCACACUGGGACUGAGACACGGCCCAGACUCCUACGGGAGGCAGCAGUGGGGAAUUUUGGACAAUGGGGGAAACCCUGAUCCAGCCAUGCCGCGUGCGGGAAGAAGGCCUUCGGGUUGUAAACCGCUUUCAGCCGGAAAGAAAUCGCACGGACCAAUACUCUGUGUGGAUGACGGUACCGGAAGAAGA
rnacentral:rRNA from 1 species